rnacentral:rRNA from 1 species
GAUGAACGCUGGCGGCGUGCCUAAUACAUGCAAGUCGAGCGAACAGACGAGGAGCUUGCUCCUCUGACGUUAGCGGCGGACGGGUGAGUAACACGUGUAUAACCUACCUAUAAGACUGGGAUAACUUCGGGAAACCGGAGCUAAUACCGGAUAAUAUAUUGAACCGCAUGGUUCAAUAGUGAAAGACGGUUUUGCUGUCACUUAUAGAUGGAUCCGCGCCGCAUUAGCUAGUUGGUAAGGUAACGGCUUACCAAGGCAACGAGGCGUAGCCGACCUGAGAGGGGGAUCGGCGACACUGGAACUGAGACACGGUCCAGAGUCCUACGGGAGGCAGCAGUAGGGAAUCGGCCGCAAUGGGCGAAAGCAUGACGGAGCAACGCCGCGUGAGUGAUGAAGGUCUUCGGAUCGGAAAACUGUGUUAUUAGGGAAGAACAAAUGUGUAAGUAACUAUGCACGUCUUGACGGUACCGAAUCAAAAAGCAACGGCUAACUACGUG